rnacentral:rRNA from 1 species
UACGGGAGGCAGCAGUGGGGAAUAUUGGACAAUGGGCGCAAGCCUGAUCCAGCCAUGCCGCGUGUGUGAAGAAGGCCUUCGGGUUGUAAAGCACUUUUGUCCGGAAAGAAAAGCUUAGGGUUAAUAACCUUGAGUCAUGACGGUACCGGAAGAAUAAGCACCGGCUAACUUCGUGCCAGCAGCCGCGGUAAUACGAAGGGUGCAAGCGUUACUCGGAAUUACUGGGCGUAAAGCGUGCGUAGGUGGUUUGUUAAGUCUGAUGUGAAAGCCCUGGGCUCAACCUGGGAAUGGCAUUGGAAACUGGCUUACUAGAGUGCGGUAGAGGGGUGUGGAAUUCCCGGUGUAGCAGUGAAAUGCGUAGAUAUCGGGAGGAACAUCUGUGGGCGAAGGCGACACCCUGGGACCAGCACUGACACUGAGGCACGAAAGCGUGGGGAGCGAAACAGGGAUUAGA